CCUGCAGCCCGAGUGGUGGCCGUUAUUAUUGGGCCUAAAACGUCCGUAGCCGGUUUGGUAGAUGCCUGUGUAAAUCGAACGGCUUAACCGUUCGAACUGCGGGUAGACCGCCAGACUUGGGACCGGGAGAGUCACGAAGUACUCCGGGGGUAGAGGUGAAAUUCUGUAAUCCUCGGGGGACUACCGGUGGCCAAGGCGUCGUGAUAGAACGGCUCCGACGGUGAGGGACGAAGCCCUGGGGCGCAAACCGGAUUAGAUACCCGGGUAGUCCAGGGUGUAAACGCUGCGGUCUUGGUGUCGGCAGUCCUACGGGGGGCAGCCGGUGCCGGAGAGAAGUUGUUAAGACCGCUGCCUGGGGAGUACGGCCGCAAGGUUG
rnacentral:rRNA from 1 species